GGGGGGGGGGGGGGGGGGGGGGGGGGCGGGGGGGGCGGGGGGGCGGGCGAGGAGCGGGCGGCGCGGGUGGUAGCGGCGGGGGGGGGAGGAACACGUGGAUAACCUACCUAUAAGCCUGGGGUACCUUCGGGAAACCGGAGCUAAUACCGGGUAAUAUUUUGAACCGCAUGGUUCAAAAGUGAAAGACGGGCUUGCUGUCACUUAUAGAUGGAUCCGCGCUGCAUUAGCUAGUUGGUAAGGUAACGGCUUACCAAGGCAACGAUGCAUAGCCGACCUGAGAGGGUGAUCGGCCACACUGGAACUGAGACACGGUCCAGACUCCUACGGGAGGCAGCAGUAGGGAAUCUUCCGCAAUGGGCGAAAGCCUGACGGAGCAACGCCGCGUGAGUGAUGAAGGUCUUCGGAUCGUAAAACUCUGUUAUUAGGGAAGAACAUAUGUGUAAGUAACUGUGCACAUCUUGACGGUACCUAAUCAGAAAGCCACGGCUAACUACGUG
rnacentral:rRNA from 1 species